rnacentral:lncRNA from 11 species
GCUGAAGACUAUCUUUAAGAGAGAGAAAGCUGGAAAAAUUACCUGUGAGUAUUUCUUACUAAGAAAACCCUAUGAAAUUCAUGGAAUCACCAUCAGUCAAAAGGCAACUUGAAGACACAUACAGGUCUGUGCCACAACCGGAGAUGACCACAACACAGGAGGUGAAGAAGGGACAGUGAGGGUGGCCGCCCAGCAGUGCUAAAGUGAAGACAUUUGCAGGAUUUUUCUGUGGCAACGCUGAUGGAAACACUCCAGGAGUUGAGUGUGACGUUUGCAGACCGUCCACGUUUCGCAGGCGUAGAGAAGGGUUGGGAGGACAAUGGCUUUGUAAACAAGCACCUUGGUAUCUCUACGGAUGUUUGAUCAUCAAACACUCUCUGCUUCAUUCUGAAAAAUGCUGCACUCGCAGAGCUCAGGCGAUGUUGUAUUUCAAUGUCAAU